GACGAACGCUGGCGGCGUGCCUAAUACAUGCAAGUUGAGCGCUGAAGGUUGGUACUUGUACCGACUGGAUGAGCAGCGAACGGGUGAGUAACGCGUGGGGAAUCUGCCUUUGAGCGGGGGACAACAUUUGGAAACGAAUGCUAAUACCGCAUAAAAACUUUAAACACAAGUUUUAAGUUUGAAAGAUGCAAUUGCAUCACUCAAAGAUGAUCCCGCGUUGUAUUAGCUAGUUGGUGAGGUAAAGGCUCACCAAGGCGAUGAUACAUAGCCGACCUGAGAGGGUGAACGGCCACAUUGGGACUGAGACACGGCCCAAACUCCUACGGGAGGCAGCAGGAGGGAAUCUUCGGCAAUGGACGAAAGUCUGACCGAGCAACGCCGCGUGAGGGAAGAAGGUUUUCGGAUCGUAAAACUCUGUUGGUAGAGAAGAACGUUGGUGAGAGUGGAAAGCUCAUCAAGUGACGGUAACUACCCAGAAAGGGACGGCUAACUACGUG
rnacentral:rRNA from 1 species